rnacentral:lncRNA from 1 species
AGGUUGUGAAUGCCUUUUUGGCCUUAUUGAAAGUGGAAAAAAAACAGAGGAGAUACCCAUGUGUCCUCCCUAUCUACGUUGCUGUGCUUUGGCAAGCUGGCAACUAUGAUAGUUGGUUGUUUCUAAAGAUCACUUUCUGUAUGUUCAGUUGCAUUCUGCUGCCAAUUUGUGAUAAUGGUCACUGGAUCCUCAUGGUUGUGUCUCCAUCUGAAAGGAUUGUAAGGGUGUAUGAUUCUCUCCAUGGAGACCAUCAAAAAUACUUCUGUCACUGGCUGUCCUUCAUGGGUCUCCGAAACAAAGCUAAUAUAUUGGAUAUUAAAGUGUACUGGAUUUAUACCAGUAUCCUUUGUUGGAGUGCCUCGAUACAGACUGGGGAAGUUACAAGAACAGAA